rnacentral:tRNA from 2 species
GCGGGAAUAGCUCAGUUGGUAGAGCAUAACCUUGCCAAGGNNCAAGGUUGGGGUCGCGAGUUCGAGUCUCGUUUCCCGCUCCA